rnacentral:lncRNA from 1 species
AAGCAAACAGAGUUCAAAUGUUGCCUAACAGAUGAUGAAAUGUGUGAAAAGAUUAGAAUCCUGUAGAUUUGCAUUGAAGGAGAGAUCCAGAUAGUUUUACAGACACCAAUAUAGAGACGUGGGGAGAGGAGUUGCUCUUUUGGACUUGAGACAAAAGCCCUAGCAACCAUCCAAAACUCCCUACUAACCACAUGGCAGCACCCUGGCAACCACCCACAACAAAACCAUUGCACGCUUCAUUUCUCAUGUGUGCUCAUGUAGGACAACAACAACCUACAUUCAUUUAUUCCUCAAGCACACAAAAGAUCAUCCAUCUGUGA